CUCUCUCUCCCUCCCUUUUUUCUCACGCUCUCUCUCUCCCUUUUUUCUCACGCUUUCUCUGCACCCAACCACUUUUUUUCCUUCUUUCUAUUUGCUUGCUACAUCUUUUCACAUUCCUCUCUCUUUCUUUCUACUUCAUUUUCUCUCAUUCUUUCAUUCACUUAGAUGCAAUCUCUCACAUUCCUUUUUGUUUUUUGUUUUUUUCAGGUAGUAGAUAUGCAAACUGACUUUAAAACAAUAUGAAAAAUAUUGUAGAUCUACAAAAUAAAGAUGGAAAAGGUUAAACAACACCAAUAAAAGAAAAGAAAAGUAUGGUAGAUCUACGGAUAAGAAGAUGGAAAAAUUUUAAUAUCUUUUUUAUUUAUUUUGAUUUUUAUUAAUUUUUUGAUCUUCUGUUUUGCAAUUCAUUAUAUAUAUAUAUAUAUAUAUAUAUAUAUAUAUAUAUAUAUAUAUAUAUAUAUAUAUAUAUAUAUAUAUAUAUAUAUAUAUAUAUAUAUAUAUAUAUAUAUAUAUAUAAAUUUAAUAAUUAUUAAGAAGUGUAACUAUUUUUUUUAUGUUUCUACACAUUUAGAUUAAGAUGAGAAAUAUUUAGAGAGAGAAUGCAAUGAAAUGUGAUGUUGUGUAUUUUUUUAAAUAAUGUGUCUAUUAUUUAUUUAAAUUUCAUAUCUUUUAUCAUCAUUAUUAUAACUAUUAUUGGUAUGAUUAUAAUAAAACAUUUCAAAAUUGAUUUAUCUGGUUCAACCACUUUCUAUUUUCUUAUUGAAUUUUUUUUACUAGAUUAUGAAACAAAAGAAAAGAAAAAAGAAUAGAGAGGAGUAAUGAAUAAGAAGUGCAUUUGCACAUUGAAAAAUGCAAACUUCAGACAUUGAAUUGUGUAAACAUCAGACACUAGAUAUUGCAAACCUACAUUGGAUAGGACAAACCUUUAUUGGGCACUUCAAACAUAAAAAAUACUCCCUCCGUCCCAAAUUAUAAGAGAAAAUCACUUUUUAGAUUCAUUGAAGAAUUAAUGU